rnacentral:sRNA from 1 species
GAUUCCGGGACUGGAGGGGUUUGGCCUAUGCCUGUGGGUGUGACCCUGUCCUUGCUAAUCUGGCCUCAGGAUGAUGAUGCAGUUCCCCCAGGCAUGGAGAGUCUCAUUAGUGCCCCACUGGUCAAGACCUUGGAAAAGGAAGAGGAAAAGGACCUCGUCAUGUACAGCAAGUGCCAGCGGCUCUUCCGCUCUCCGUCCAUGCCCUGCAGCGUGAUCCGGCCCAUCCUCAAGAGGCUGGAGCGGCCCCAGGACAGGGACACGCCCGUGCAGAAUAAGCGGAGGCGGAGCGUGACCCCUCCUGAGGAGCAGCAGGAGGCUGAGGAACCUAAAGCCCGCGUCCUCCGCUCAAAAUCACUGUGUCACGAUGAGAUCGAGAACCUCCUGGACAGUGACCACCGAGAGCUGAUUGGAGAUUACUCUAAGGUUGUUCCCUGGGUGUCAGACCCAAGAGGUGCCUCUCAGUUGCCAUGGGAACCAGAACUGAAUUUGAAGGCCAAAGCAGGCCUUCCUCCUACAGACAGUAGAUGGAAAGCACCAAGACCUCAAGUACAUCUCACCAGAAACGAUGGUGGCCCUGUUGACGGGCAAGUUCAGCAACAUCGUGGAUAAGUUUGUGAUUGUAGACUGCAGAUA